UUGCAGCUAUGUCACGUUGAAACACCGAUUCCUGUACAAUCACCAAAGUUAAGGAAUGUCAAGCCUGGUCAGUACCUAGAUGGGCAACUGCUUGGGAAUACCAAGUGCUGUAAG